GACACAAUACUGCAUUUCUGAUCUAAGCAUGAAGUUGAACACCAGAAGAGGAAACACGGCGAAAGAUGGGUGCAGUUACGUAGGACAUACUGCCUGGUUUGCAGGCAUGUGGCUUCAAGCAACUGCAGCAUUGGAGAAUCGGGUGCAGGGAAGACUGAAUGCAAAGCGUGUCAUCCAGCAGCAAUCACAGCAAGAGGAGACCUGGCCAAGAAGAAGGAAUCCUGGAUGAAAGUACGAAGCUGAAAAGCAUUGCAGGGGGACACUUAACAGCCUGUGGCUUUGGACAGUAUCAGUGACAGACAUUGGCCUCAAAAUAUGAAGUGCCCUCUAUUAGCUUCAGCCACUCUUAAAAAGCAGUAAGGGCAGGGGCUGAUUGGCUGUGAGAGACACAGCAAAUACAAACCACCAGAGCUGCCAGCAUCGCUGCCCAGCAGCCUCUCCUCAAAUGCAGAUAGAUCUGGGGGAUAUUGUCUGAGCAGAGGCUCCAAUUUCUCAACGUGAGCUGAGAACAAUGAGGAUGAGUGAAAACAGGAAUAAAAGGAAUUAUUUACCAUUUAGAUGAAGUGCUGAUUCUUGGUGCUGUAAUGGAGAAGCUGGCACAGCAUCAGGUUGUACAGCACAUCAGGUUGUACAGCAAUGCUGCUGAGCUGCAGCACCAUCGCUUUGUCCCACCACAUACCCUGUGGUGUUUCAAACUGUUAUUCAAAUAUUCUUACAGGGUGCACCUGAGGAUCGAAUCAUCAGUGUCAGCUCACUGCUGGAGGCUGCUGGGGAUACCAAGGUGUGAGGAAUGACAGCUCUUCACACUUCAGAAGUUGUGCUCCAUAGGGUUUGUC
rnacentral:lncRNA from 1 species